AGGUUUAGAUGAAUGGAAAAUGAACUUGCCAGUUCACAGCUAUGUCCUUCCCAAUUUAGGAGGUUAAGGGCAGGAAAAACAUGAGAAACUCUUUUGAGAAGCUGCACAAGCUGACAUGGAGGAUCAAGGAUUUCAAAAGCUUUGAAUAUAAAGAGGUGUCAGACUUACAUCAGAGCCUGAGACUUGACAUGCCUAUUUUUGCACUCGCUCAUUUUUCAAAUUUCAUAGGCAUUGCUCCCUCCAAAUCACCGCUCUUCUAAUUUUAUCCUGGAGUGUGCAUCCCAGAAGACAUAAGCUGACACAAUUGGGAACUGAAGUUGCUUGAAAAAGCUGGUGGUAAGAUUAGACUCUAGACAGCUUAUACGUAUUUGGACAAGGCAACGUGAUGAAGAAAUAAUAUAAUUGUAGGAUCACCUCUGUCCAGUAGCUGUUAUCCAACAUCUGCAUACUUAGAUUUCUGGAGAGAUAUCCAUGAAUGACCAUGAAAGUACAGCAAGUGAUUUUCAAGCUGCAAACAAAUUUUAGCAAGCAAAUGGAAGAAGAAAGAGGAGAGUGGUGGUGUGUGCUUUCCCUUUAAUGGCAGAACCCAACAGUCGUACACACCACUUCUACCCUCUUAAGAUGGGUCAGAAUCCAGGCCCAAUUCCAUGUAUACAUGGAAGAGAGGCUUAUUAAAGUAGCCUUCAGUUGCUGGACAGAGUUCCAUCCAAAACUACAGUUAAUAGGUAAGUCGAGAACUUACAUUAAGUGAUAAAUGGCAGUCUCUGCCAAGGAAAAUAUUCUUAUCCAUGCUCAUGGAUAAGAAGAAUCAAUAUCAUGAAAAUGGCCAUACUGCCAAAAGUAAUUUAUAGAUUCAAUGCUAUUCCCAUCAAGCUACCAUUGACUUUCUUCACAGAAUUAGAAAAAACUACUUUAAAUUUCAUAUGGAACCAAAAAAGAGCCUGCAUAGCCAAGACAAUCCUCAGCAAAAAGAACAAAGCUGGAGGCAGCAUGCUACCUGACUUCAAACUACACUACAAAGCUACAGUAACCAAAACAGCUUGGUGCUGGUACCAAAACAGAUACAUAGACCAAGGGAACAGAACAGAGGCCUAAGAAAUAACACCACACAUCUACAACCAUUGAAACUUUGACUAACCAGACAAAAACAAGCCAUGGGGAAAGGAUUCCCUAUUUAAUACAUGCUGAUGGAAAAACUAGCUAGCCGUCUGCAGAAAACUGAAACUGGACCUUAUACAAAAAUUAACUUACAUCUUAUACAAAAAUUAACUCAAGAUAGAUCAAAGAUUUAAGUGUAAGACCUAAAACCAAAAAACCCUAGAAGAAAA
ensembl:lncRNA LINC01684 long intergenic non-protein coding RNA 1684